GACGAACGCUGGCGGCGUGCCUAAUACAUGCAAGUCGAACGCAGUGGGAGCGGUUGCGUAACACGUGGGUAACCUCCCAUCAGAGGGGAUAACACUUGGAAACAGGCGCUAAACCGCUACUGAUGGAUGGACCCGCGGUGCAUUAGCUAGUUGGUGAGGUAACGGCUCACCAAGGCAACGAUGCGUAGCCGACCUGAGAGGGUUAUCGGCCACACUGGGACUGCGACACGGUCCAGACUCCUACGGGAGGCAGCAGUAGGGAAUCUUGGGCAAUGGACGAAAGUCUGACCGAGCAACGCCGCGUGAGUGAAGAAGGUUUUCGGAUCGUAAAACUCUGUUGUUAGAGAAGCGGUAUCUAACCAGAAAGCCACGGCUAACUACGUGCCAGCAGCCGCGGUAAUUC
rnacentral:rRNA from 1 species